CUUCAGGGCAGGGUGAAAGUCCCUACCGGCGGUAUAGCCCGCGAGCGGUUGUAUAUUGAUACGAUUGCCGAUUCGGUGAAAUUCCGAGGCCGACAGUAAAGUCUGGAUGAGAGAAGUU
rnacentral:ncRNA from 1 species